rnacentral:rRNA from 1 species
GAUGAACGCUGGCGGCGUGCCUAAUACAUGCAAGUCGAGCGAACAGACGAGGAGCUUGCUCCUCUGACGUUAGCGGCGGACGGGUGAGUAACACGUGGAUAACCUACCUAUAAGACUGGGAUAACUUCGGGAAACCGGAGCUAAUACCGGAUAAUAUAUUGAACCGCAUGGUUCAAUAGUGAAAGACGGUUUUGCUGUCACUUAUAGAUGGAUCCGCGCCGCAUUAGCUAGUUGGUAAGGUAACGGCUUACCAAGGCAACGAUGCGUAGCCGACCUGAGAGGGUGAUCGGCCACACUGGAACUGAGACACGGUCCAGACUCCUACGGGAGGCAGCAGUAGGGAAUCUUCCGCAAUGGGCGAAAGCCUGACGGGCAACGCCGCGUGAGUGAUGAAGGUCUUCGGAUCGUAAAACUCUGUUAUUAGGGAAGAACAAAUGUGUAAGUAACUAUGCACGUCUUGACGGUACCGAAUCAGAAAGCCACGGCUAACUACGU